rnacentral:rRNA from 1 species
CCUACGGGGGGCAGCAGUGAGGAAUAUUGGUCAAUGGCCGGAAGGCUGAACCAGCCAAGCCGCGUGAAGGACGAAGGUGCCAAGCAUUGUAAACUUCUUUUGUCAAGGGACAACAUCAGGCUCGAGAGCCUGACCGAGGGUACUUGAAGCAAAAGCAUCGGCUACCUCCGUGCCAGCAGCCGCGCUCAUCGGGAGGAUGCGAGCGUUCUCCGGAUUUAUGGGGUUUACAGGGCGCGUAGGCGGGCUGUUCAGUCAGCGGUAAAAGCCCGGGGCUCCACCCCGGCGAGCCGUUGAAACUGGCUGUCUUGGGAUGUCGAGAGGUAUGCGGAAUGCGCAGUGUAGCGGUGAAAUGCUUAGAUAGUGCGCAGAACUCCGAUUGCGAAGGCAGCAUACCGGCGGCGAUCUGACGCUGAGGCACGAAAGCGUGGGUAUCGAACAGGAUUAGAUACCCCUGUAGUC